CUCCCUAACUUUUGCCUCCUGAACUGCAUUGUAAAAAUAAAAAAGAGAGAACCACAUGAGACAAUAAUGUAAGACGUAUGUGUAUAUUGUAAAAAAACCAAAAACAAAAAUAGAGAGAGUUCAGCAAUCCAAGGAGGUGAUUCUUUCAACAUAUUACUUGCAAAUAACCACCGUCAUCAAACAUACCACUAUAGUUCAAUGUUUCCCUGAUCAAUGUAAUAACAUUUUAAUUUUAGACAAUCAUGUCACUGUUCAUUGGAUAUUUGUUUUACAUCAAGUGUUGGAGAAUAAUCUGAGUAAUUUUGGGCUGUUGCAUUUUCAGUUAUAAAUGGACCAACAGCUACUCUUGUGUCUUUGUUACAUAAGGUUCCCUUGGUAGAACAUCAUGUUUUGUAUCCAUUGCAGCCUAGUCUAAUGAGAUGUGCAGAACACUUCAGAUAUUUUGAUUUAGAGAGGGUUUUGGGGCUUUUCAAUUAUAGUAGAGUUUCACUUAUCCAACAUAAACAGACCGGCAGAACAUUGGAUACAUGAAAAUGUUGGAUAAUAAGGAGGGAUGAAGGAAAAGCCUAUUAAACAUCAUAUUACAUUAUGCUUUUACAAAUUAAGCACCAAAACAUCAUGUUUUACAACAAACUGACAGAAAAAGCAGUUCAAUAUAUGUAACAUUCUGUAGUAAUUACUGUAUUUACAAAUUUAGUACCAAAACAUUGCAAUAUAUUGAAAAUACUGACUAAAAAAACAUUGACUACUGAAAAGGCAGACUGCGUUGGAUAAUACAGAACAUUGGAUGAGCAAAGGUUGAAUAAGCAAAAUUUUUCUUCCUUUCUAUUUAUGUUUUUAAAUUGUUUUGUUUAAUAUUUUUCCCAAGGAAGAACAGUUGGAUUUUAAACAUUGUUCACAACUUUGUGAUGUUUGCAUUAAUUCUAUUGUUUUUAAGUCCCGUCCUUCCAUCCCGCCAACCAUCACAAAUUGAUUCUUUACUUUUUAUUUCCGCUGUGGUUUAGGACUAUUUUAUGGGUAUGAUUUCUAUCUGAAAAUGCUAAAUGGUGAAGAAAUGAAGAUAAUACACACACCAUGAAACUAAUUAACAUCCAAGUCCAGCCAAGUUUCAUCAAAGAAC
rnacentral:lncRNA from 1 species